CCCUGGAUGAGUGGAGGAUCACCUCAGCCUGUCAUCUGGCCACUUCAGAGAGGCAGAGAGAAACUCCCUAAAGAAGCGGUCCUUGUGUGCCAACCAGCAUCCAGCAGGACCCACCUUACUCACGUUCCUGUGUGCUGGAAAGGCCCAGUCCAUCCAAAAAGCCGUUGCACAGCCCACGUGUCCAAGACCAGAGAUCACUCUGACUUGUUUCCCGUAUUAUGACAUUGCUGGUAAGUACUGUGUGUUUCACCUUUUAAGUGAUUUAAUGUCACAUUUUCAACAAAUCAUACCUUCUCCGGGAUCACAAUCCACUUGCGCAAAAUAGAAUAUGCAGUGUUGAGUCCUCCUCCCCACCUCUUUGCCCUGUCCACUCAGUCCUCUUUCCAAACGGAAAUCAGUGUUACCUGUUUCAUUGAAAUCUUUUCAGAGAUAGUUUGGGCAAGGAAAGUUGAAUGCAAUCCAUUUGCCUUUUCAAGAAGUAUUGCUUUGUCUCUGGUUGAAAAUUAAAAUGUGCGCAGGGAACUGCAUCUUGGACUUGUGAUGGAAAAUGUUGCAGGAUAGUGAGAAAAUGAUUAUAUGUGUAUAAUAUAAAUACAUAUAUAUGCAUAUCUAUAUAUAUAUGCAUCUAUAUAUAUGUAUACAUAUCUAUAUGUAUACAUAUAUAGGUGUGUGUGUGUAUAUAUAUAUAAAUAUAAAUAUAUAUAUAUAUAUAUAUAUAUAUAUAUAUUCACCUCUGUCUGUAUGACAGGGUCCUUUUGCUGUACAGCCAAAAUAGACGAAGCAUUGUAAAUCAACCGCAAUGGAAAACAUAGCAUAUUAUAAGAUCAAAGAGUUCAUCUUGCAAAAAAGGAAAAUAGAAAAUUAAAUCAUGUCCCAGUAUAUCUGAGUAUCUUUACUUUGGUUGCCUUCAUACUGAUAUCGUGGCUCCUCUGUUACUGGACUAGUUUUUGUCACGGGAGUUUCUACAUCCUCUUGAAAUUCAAAGUACUGAAAGGGCAGAGUGGUCAAGGCCAGGCAAUAACAAUAGUAAAUGUCCAGCUCCAUUUGAAUUUUUCAUUUCCCAUACACAGUGCCUGCAUUUAGCCUGAACUGUGUCCCAUGCAACAUUUUGGACAUAUCGUUACUGCAAGUACUUUCCCUACUUAUCUGAAAUUUACCUUUCCCUCAGAAUCUGCAUGUAUCUGGCACGACUAGCCAAAAAGGGUAACAUAUUAGGCUAUUA
rnacentral:lncRNA from 1 species